UACGUAGGGUGCAAGCGUUAAUCGGAAUUACUGGGCGUAAAGCGUGCGCAGGCGGUUUUGUAAGACGGGCGGGAAAUCCCCGGGCUUAACCUGGGAAUGGCGAUGGUGACUGCAAGGCUAGAGUUUGGCAGAGGGGGGUAGAAUUCCACGUGUAGCAGUGAAAUGCGUAGAGAUGUGGAGGAACACCGAUGGCGAAGGCAGCCCCCUGGGUCAAAACUGACGCUCAUGCACGAAAGCGUGGGGAGCAAACAGG
rnacentral:rRNA from 1 species